GUAGGUGGCAAGCGUUGUCCGGAAUUAUUGGGCGUAAAGCGCGCGCAGGCGGUUCUUUAAGUCUGAUGUGAAAGCCCACGGCUCAACCGUGGAGGGUCAUUGGAAACUGGAGAACUUGAGUACAGAAGAGGAAAGCGGAAUUCCACGUGUAGCGGUGAAAUGCGUAGAGAUGUGGAGGAACACCAGUGGCGAAGGCGGCUUUCUGGCCUGUAACUGACGCUGAGGCGCGAAAGCGUGGGGAGCAAACAGGAUUAGAUACCCUGGUAGUCCACGCCGUAAACGAUGAGUGCUAAGUGUUAGGGGGUUUUCCGCCCCCCUUAGUGCUGCAGCUAACGCAUUAAGCACUCCGCCUGGGAGUACGGCCGCAAGGCUG
rnacentral:rRNA from 1 species